rnacentral:rRNA from 1 species
UACGGGGGGGGCAAGCGUUGUUCGGAAUUACUGGGCGUAAAGGGCUCGUAGGCGGCCAACUAAGUCCGACGUGAAAUCCCCAGGCUUAACCUGUGAACUGCGUCGGAUACUGGAUGGCUUGAAUCCGGGAGAGGGAUGCGGAAUUCCAGGUGUAGCGGUGAAAUGCGUAGAUAUCUGGAGGAACACCGGUGGCGAAGGCGGCAUCCUGGACCGGCAUUGACGCUGAUGAGCGAAAGCCAGGGGAGCAAACGGG